CUCUCUCCCUGGCUUGCCUGCUCACCUUCUUCCUGCGUCUCCACCUGGUCUUUCCUCUGGGUGUGUGUGUGUCCUCUUCUCAUAAGACACUGGUCAGAUUGGAUCAGGGCCCACCCAGAGGACUUCAUUUUAACAUAAUCACCUCUUUAAAGGCCUGUGUCCAAAUACAGUCGCACUCUGAGGACCUGGGGAAUAGGACUUCAACCUAUGAAAUUUGAGGGGACGUGAUUCAGCCCAUCGCACCUUGAGAGCAUCAAUGUUCGAGACGUCUAUUUCACCCCUACCCUCCCCACGCCAGCUCGGGGCGGGGCAUCUUCAAGCCACAGGCGGGCCCCUCCGUUUUUGCUUUGCUGACUGCCAUCUGCUCCUCCCCCACGGAGACUCAUCAGUGUUCUUGCAUCCUUGCAACAAAAUGUAUUGUGCAUCUGCUUGGGGCAGCCCUGUCAAGUUGCUGGGGAGACAGUGGUGAAUAAGGCAAAGACCCCCCGCCCUCGUGGAGCUGACAGUGAAGGGGGAAGACUGACAACGAAUGGGAUACAGAAAUACGAUGCACCCUCCAUGCCUGGUGACAAAUCUGGCCCGAACUCAAACCAGGCUUGCCAUCUCCUCCCUGAGCCGCAAACCCAUCAGGCCUCCUGUGCAUCCAUCUUCGGGUCCAAGGGCAGCAACGCUGGCACGGUCUCCGCCCCUAACGAAAACCAGCGGCUCCGCUGCCUGUGGCCUGCGGCACAGUCGGUAGAUACAAGUAUAAUUAUAGACUCACAGGAAGUUGCAAAAGCGCUACCGAGAGGCCCUGGGUCCCCUUCUCCCAGCUUCCCCCAGCGGCGACAUCUUUCCUGACUGCAGCGCAGGCUCGAAGAAACUGGGGCGUUGUUCAGCACAAUGCAGUGACCGAGAUACAGACUUCGCUCGGCUUCCACCAGAUUUGACAUGCGUUCAUGUGGUUUUAUUUCUUGUACCUCUUUGUGUGUCAUUCCACGACCUUUUCUCCCACGUGUAGAUUCGUGUAACCGCCACCAGGCUGGCGAUCCAGACCACUCACCUUAAGGAUCUUUCCUCCAGCUUCUCCCAGAUGGUCACGCCCGCCCUCCUUGUGCCUGAGCCGGAACCUCUGAUCUUUUCCAAUCUCUGUAGUUGGGUCACAUGGAAUAUGCUAUAUACGGGGGGACACACGGUAUAGUAACCCUUGAGAACGGCUUUUUCACUCAGCGUAAUGCGCUGGAGAUCCAGCCCAGUUUGUUCCUUUUUACCACUGAGGAGGAGUCUGCGGCCCGGGGGGACCACAGUUUGUUCAAACAAAAUUGCCAAGUCUGCCCAAUGGGUGGUGGCUGUCCUAGACACGGUGACAAGGAAUGACUCAGCCUCAUCCUGGUCGGUGGAGGACACACCGUGGUCAACAGCAAUGCUCUUCCUAGUCCCUAAUUCACAUGUUUUGUCAGCACAUUUAUUUGGCACUGACUUUAUGCGGCAUGAGCAGCACAAAAGAGCCCCAAUUCCAGAUGUCCGUGAGCUUAUGGCUCAGGGGAGGGGACUGCCAUUUAAUAAAUAAAUAGGAAAAUAUAUAGUUAUAAAUUGUGAGAACGGCUUUAAGGAAAAGAGCGGGAUUCUGGGAGAGAAUGCAACUUUGGGUGGUUUUGGCAGUCUCACGUGAGCAAGAUGAAGAGGCAUUGGCUUGUGGGGAAUGGCAUUCCAGGCCCGGGAACAGCAUGUGCAAGGGCUCUGAGGCUGGAAAGAAGUGCACGCGUGGGAAGAAUGGAUGGAAGGCAGAAGUGCUGAAACAUGAUCCAGGAGUCGGAGGCGAGGGUAGGCCAGAUCAUCUGGGUCCUCGGAGGCAGAGCGUUUUAUCUCCAGGGCAAGGGGAAGCCUUUAGAGCAUUUUAAACAGGGACAGGCAUUGUACGGUUUGUGUUUUACAGACAGCACCGGCUGCACGGUGGAUAUUGGACCACAGGAGGUGAGAAGAGAUCCCAGAAGAUUCAUUGGGAGGUCACAUUGGCCUCCUGUGACCAUGACUGUGGUGGCCUGUCCUAAGCCUUUGCCAGUGUGAAUUAAGAUUGGAGAGGUUGCUGCUCAGGAGGGGAGCUGAGGUGACCUGUGUGUGGAGGGGGUGGAGGUGUGGUGGGCAGGAAGCUGCGCUGGCCUGCGGGUGAUGGGGAAAGUGCUACCUGCGGUGGCAGAGAGCACGGACGGGUUCUGGGAGACUGACUGAGUUCAGAUUCUGGCUCUUGCAUUCACUGGGUCCGUUUCCUCAUCAGUGGAACGGGUAUAAACAAGAUCUGGGGGGCCGUUGCAAGACCAAAUGGGAUGGCACGUGCACGGCACCUGGCGCAGUGGCAGAGGCAGCAGCCACUCCACAGUUGCAUCGUCUCAUCUCCUCUCGGAGGGCAGAGGUUCAGCCUCAUCACGCCAGCGUCUGGCAAGGGCCUGAUGCACGCCUGUGCUCCAUUAGGGCUCGUUAAUUUCUUCUCUCUCCUUGAAUCCCACCUCCAGGGACACGUGGACAGUGCAGGGUGGCUGCAGGGCGGCUGCGGGGCAUGGGGGCACGGUGCAGGGGCCUCAGGGGACAGACGAGACUGCCUGGGGCCCUUUGAUGCAUCGGGCCGGAGCAUUGCUUCUAUCAUUGUUACAGUGCGUGAUUUAUAGGACACAAUGCCCGCUGGGGCCUUAAAAAGUGUGCCCCCAGGGAAAGGGGUUGGAAACCAAGACUGUGCAGGUCCAAAGGCAGCAGCUUACCAUAUUGCCUUCACUGGAGAUGGAUGCUCUUUCUCCACCCUCCCUCUCCUCAGCAUUUUUGAAGCCAGGACACAUCUUGCUUCUGUGUGUGUUCUUAGUCUUGCAGGGUUCUUGUCCCCCCAGAAGUGAUGUUAAAUCUUUUAGUUGAUGGCAUUCUGUAUCGAGGGAA